rnacentral:rRNA from 1 species
UACAGAGGGGGCGAGCGUUGUUCGGAAUCACUGGGCGUAAAGCGCACGUAGGCGGCUUUCUAAGUCAGGGGUGAAAUCCUGGAGCUCAACUCCAGAACUGCCUUUGAUACUGGAGAGCUUGAGUCCGGGAGAGGUGAGUGGAACUCCGAGUGUAGAGGUGAAAUUCGUAGAUAUUCGGAAGAACACCAGUGGCGAAGGCGGCUCACUGGCCCGGUACUGACGCUGAUGUGCGAAAGCGUGGGGAGCAAACAGG